CCUGCAGAUGCCCGGGUGUCCUGUCAGCUUGCUGGGACAGAGGAGGCGACAGAGGAGCUGGCCGGCCCGCCCCGGCGGAGAGGGGAGCGCGGGAAGGAGACUUCCUGGAAGAUUCCUACCCCUCGCUCGUGAGUCACAGCCACAGGAGACUCAAACAAGUACCACAGACGGACAAAAGAGCCACAGCUCCCUGGGCAAUGCUCUCUGACCUGUCCCUGUGACCUGCAUACUCCCUGCAACCUUCUUUUUGAUGUCACCAUCAUCAGAGAGGGGCCCAGGGCAGGUAAAGAGGAAGAGUGAGACCUGCUUUAUCUGUGAAGACAGCACUAAGUCCCCUUCCACGAAGCCCCCGCACCCAGCUGGAGGGGACACAGGAGUAAGAGGCGAUCCCAACGAGCCCUGAACUCCCAACACAGUCCAGGAGGCCUGGGCUGACCCAGCCGUGAAAAGGGGGCAGGCGCUCCAGGUAACUCUGACACGGGCAGCAGGGGCCUCAGGAAGGGGGUCCACAAGAGGGGCACAUUCUUGUUCCUGGGGCCCAUUCUGGGGAGGGGCCUGUGAGGAGGUGGGAGGAGAGGAUUCUAGCUGAAAGGACAUUCUCUGAGGCUCUGGGCUCAGAUUUCCUGCCACCUCUCACCUCCCCCACCCCUCAAGCAGGUACCUUCUUCGAGAAUCCUCCAUAGUUGCCUCCUACCUAUGGGAGACGCAGGGCUUCCCUGCUGGCUCAGUGGCAAAGAAACGGCCUGCCAGUGCAGGAGACGCGGGUUCGAUCCCUGGGUCGGGAAGUGCCCUAGAGAAGGAAAUGGCAACCCACUCUAGUAUUCUUACCUGGGAGAUCCCAGGGACAGAGGAUCCUGGUGGGCUGCAAUCCAUGGGGUUGCAAAAGGGUUGGACACGACUGAGCGAUUAAACAACAACAAUGUGGGGGAUACCAACCGCUCACUUUAAAAACAGACUUUUCCCUUCAUUUCCUGCUCAUCCUCCGACUAAACCACUGAAGUGCGCUUUCCUUAGUUAAAAAUAAAGAAGCUCCAUCCCUCCGACCCCCUCCCACUGACCGUCCUGCAGUCAUGGCUACUGUACCUGCCAGCAGAGUGGGCAGCCGGCCGAGACCCUCCAGGGCCGGCCCCAGUCUGGCCGCCUGCAGCCUCCCAGAGCAAAACGAUGAAUUCCGGGCCUGGGGCCGGCCGCAUUCCUCUCCGGAAUCUUCUCUCCACUUUUUAUGGUGCCUCAAGUUUCGGCCGUUCCUAAAUAAAUACGAUCCAGCUACUCUCUGCCCUGGGGACUGCUGCAGGGUUUACUGGUGCAAACAGCCUGGGCCGGCCUGUUGCUUUGGGAGUUCUUCCAGGUCAGCGUGGAAGGAAAUCUAGACAAGGGAGAGAGACGGCGCAGACGGGGCCAAAUUCCACCACUAACAGCCCUCGCGCUCAGCCAUCCAUCCCAUCCUGCUGGAGCCGGGAGCUGGCGCUGUGUUCCUCAAGGCCCCCAGCUCCCUGUGCAGAGCAAGGGGGAAUCCAGGAGCGUGGGGACUAGAGUCCUCGGGAGGGUCUGUCCCAAGGCCCCUACGUCUCCAGAACACACCAAAACUCUGCCAAAGGCCUGGUGUCUUUCACUUCCCGCUGGAAAUCCCAACAUUCUGCCUGCUCAUGGCACCCAAUAAAGGCCUCCAGGAGGAACAAGGGAUUUGAGGAUCGGGUGUGUAGAUUAAUCCAGACCAGCCCUACCCCAGAGAACUUUCUGUGCUGAUGUAGAUGCCACGGUCUCUGUUGUGUUCAAUAUGGCAGCCACGUGUGGCUGACGAGGGCCUACAGCGUGGCCCAUGCUACUGAGGAACUGAGUUUUUAAUUUGUGUUAAAUAAAUGCUUUAAAUGAAAAUAGCUACUGUGCCUACAGGCUGCCCUGUCGGGCAGGGUCUGCCUCUCCUCCGUCGCCUCUCUGGAGACCUGGCAUUUUCCAUAAGCCUCUCCCCCAUAAGCAAACAAAGAGAAAAGCUACUUCUCAGCCAAGGUAAAAGAAGCCUGAUGUUUCUAUUUUAAAUAUGUUUUUUUGGCCAAUCACACUCCCCCACCCCCCACCCAGCUUCUCCUAUCAA